GGGAGGGGGUGACUAGUGACAGAGUGAGGGAGGGUAUGACUAGUGACAGAGUGAGGGAGGGGGUGACACAAUGACAGAGGGAGGGAUGGGGUGACUAGUGACAGUCACCACCUCCUUCACUCUGUCACUAGUCACUCCCUCCCUCCCUCUGUCAUUGUGUCACCCCCUUCCUCACUCUGUCACUAGUCACCCCCUUACUCUGUCACUAGUCAGCCCCUCUCUCACUCUGUCACUAGUCAUCCCCUUCCUUACUGUCACUAGUCACCCCCUCCC